AGUCACUGAUACCCUGAUCCUCCAUGAUUUUUAAACUCCUCUCUUAAAGCCAUCCAAGUUGGUGGCCAUAACUACUUCUCAAGGGAGCGAAUGCCAUAGUUUAGCUAUAUGUGGUGUGAUGAAAUCUUUCCUUUCAUCUGUCCCAAAUCUCCCAGUGUUCAGCUUUGGAUGGUGCUUCUGUGAUUCUGACCACAUCAGCAUGAUGUGAUGUAUUUUGACAGGAGGAAACAAAAAGAAUAAUGGGCCAAGCCAUGUAAUUAAUCUUGACUUUAAUAAAAUAUUUUGAUACUACAUCUCUCAGGAGACAGCCUAGCAGUAUAAUUUAUAUUGAUGGGGAUGGAUGCAAAGCUGCCAGAAAGGGCCUAAAUUACAGUAUGAAAAAGGAUAACUGACAGGGGAUUGACAUGGAGGAAGUAUUCAGCAUUUUGCUAUAGGCCUUUGAUUCUACAUAACUGUGGCAGUAGACUUUUGUGAGGGAUAUACCAUGACAGAUUCACAUGAGAUUCAUGUGACGGAUCAUGCCUAGAAACUAGACACUGGCACAGAGAUUGUGCGUGUGGCACCCAUAGGAGUCAGAGUACCUAUAAGCUUCUCCUAUGGAAGCCAGGAAAGAUUUCAGUAAAUAUCCUCUCAAAUAUCCACAGUUCACGAGAGACUCUUUGCUCUUCCUGCUCAGUCACCUGUUUUGCACUGGCUCAGCUUCUACAAUUAACAUGCCCCCUAAAAGAUGCUCACAUUUAAUUGGAUGCUAGGAACAGAUGCUUGCCCACUUCUGUUCUGGAAAGAGGAGAGGUGCAAAGAGCUUCUCAGGGAACAAGCAUGGUGGUGCCUGAUGCUGGUGUCUCCUCCCUUAUUUUCUUAUUUUCUUUUUUAACUUAGAGUUUUUUAAAAUUACAUAUCAAUAAACAAGACUCAUAAGUACAACUAAGAAUUGAGUUCCAGUCCUCCUUUAAAUGCACAGGGGGGAAAAGAAAACCUAUACAAUAAUUAAGAAAUAUACAGACAGCAAUACAGAAAGCCAACAAAGAUAAUAUAUAGAAUUUAAGCUAAGGACCAAAGCUGUUUAGGUAUAAUACCUGUCCAUAAUGGGUGAUGAACCUCUGAGGGAGGAGUACUCCCUUUUGUCACAAAACAAAUUCAGCAACAGAGACCAAGUAACUGAGAAUGAUGUUUUAGAUUUAAUCCCUAGCUGUCUGUUACACUCUGUAACUUUUCCUACAACUUCUAACUGCCAUACCCUUUUUCACCAGCCUUUUAAGGUGCAGUGGGAAUAGUAUGUCUAAUGCUGGGUGUAUUCCAACUUAGCUGCUGUUACUAGGUGGGUAAUUAAGUCUCUAUAUAAUGACAGAGGACGAGAUGGUUGGACAGUGUUCUCGAAGCUACCAGCAUGAGUUUGACCAAGCUGUGGGAGGCAGUGGAAUACAGGAGUGCCUGGCGUGCUCUGGUCCAUGGGGUCAUGAAGAGUCGGACACGACUAAAUGACUAAACAACAACAACACCACAUUUUGCAGGAUUUCUGGAAAGAGUGAUAGCAAUGCUAAACCUGGGUCUGGAGGGAUAAUUUGUUGCUCCUGCCAUUUUGUGGUUCUGUCUCUUCUUCUGAUGUCUUGGAUGUGACAGCUAUUUUAUGUUAUGACAGAGCCCCAUGGCAGAUGUUUUGUGAUUGGCGCCCACCUCACUUUCUCAAAAUCCUAGUAUAUCUGGGUGAAUGCUAGGUUAGAAUCCUUACUGACAUCUAGUUUUCUAUGUUGGAGUAUGAAGGAAUUGGGGGGGGGGUAUACAAGCUCCCACCUAUUGUCUAAAGCAAUAUAUUCCAGACACAGGUAUACUAUCUCACUGAUAACUUGCUGAGGCUGUGGUAUUAGACAGCAGUCAGUCACGAACCAGAAGCCUGGAAUUGAGCCUGGGAACCAGAACACAGGAAAAAAUGUUAAGGACCACCUGAUGCCAUAUUCUCCACCAUUUUAAUGAUGCGGCACUUUUGAUAUCAUUAGCAAUCGGGAGAAAAAAAACCUCUUGCAACUCAGAGCUUUGUCAAAAUUUGAAAGCAGCAAAUCUCAAUUGUGGGAUGCAGGUUGGGCCCUCACAUGUGCAGAAUCACUGGUUGUCAAGAAUGUGAUCCAGCCCAUAGCUGAAAUCAUUUCCUACCAAUGAUGGUUAGAUAAAUAUGGAGUUAUAGUAAAAUCACCUGGGUUUUAUUGUGUAUUUCUCUUUAAAAUUUAUCCGAGUCUGUAUUUCACUGGUGUCAAUGUAAUGGUGCUAAUAGCAAUAUAAACUAAAUGAAUAGACAAGGAAUUGGCUAAUAGCAAUGCAAACAAAAGAGGAAAGAACGAACUGACAUAAUAAAAUGUCAGCCAAACUACCAGUAAAAUAAAAGCAUUGAUGUCUGGCAAAUUCUUGAGAGAUGAUUUCUUGUUGCACCAGGCUGUUUUAAAGUGAUGUGUGAAUGAAUUAAUUGAUCUAAAUGUUAUAGGGGAUGAAAAUGGAAUCUUUUCUUUUAAAGGAAGCCUAUAAUGUUUAAAAGAGAGAUGGGGAUCCUGUGACCCUCCAGACGCUGUUGGAAUCCAUCAGAAAUUUCUUCCCACUGUUUAGUUGGAAUCUCCUUUCUUGUCAUUUGAAUCCAUUAGUUCAGGUCAUAGCAGCAAAAGUAGCAAAAGACAAGCUUGCUCUCUCUUCCAUGUCAGAUCCCUUCCGAUGUUUAAAGAUGACUACCGUGCCACCUCUCAUUCUCUUCUUCUCAAGACUAAACAUGCUCAGCUCCCUCAGCCAAUUCUAGCUAGCCUCAUAUUGGAAGCCUUAAAAGAGGACACAGACAAGAAUUGGAAAAGCUGAAUGACGCUGUAAGGUUUUUAAAAAUGUACAUGGAAAAAUACACAGCACUCUUGGGUUGCCAUACAUCUGGAUUUUCCCAGACAUGACCUCUUUUUCAGGGAUGAAAUCACUGUGGGCGGAUUUUUAAAAUAUUGUAAAAUGUCCAGGUUUGGAGGGGGGCGUUGCGUGUGAGGGAACUGGCCGAAUGGCAGCACGGUUACAAAAGGAAGUGGUGGUUGCAGCGCUGUUGUUUCUGGCAGCCAUGUGUGCUUAUACACACACAUCUGUCCGUUUGUCUGUCACCAAGGGAGGCAGGUGAGGCCAAGGCCUGAGAGAGCCGGUGCAUCCCUGAAACAUAUGUUUAUACUAAAUUUAGGAAGAAAGUGCUGGAUUGUAUAAAUAUGACUGUUCAGGAAAGAAAACCUUAAUAUUUUCAACAGAAAAUAUUCUUCUGAGCUAAAUACCUACUAUAUGGAAGUUACCAACUAGACAACAAAAAUGGUCUUCACGUGCUCUAAUCGUAGCCAAGAGGCUGAUAUUGAUGAACUGGAAGAAUAAAGACAUCUCCUUUAAUCAGUGGAUUGAUAUGAUAACACCUGCAACCUAUGAAUGGACUGCUUAAAGAUAUAGACUCUGCUUGGAUAAAUACGACAAUAUUUGGAAUGAAUUUAUGCAAAAUAUAGUAGGCUAUUAAUAUUUACAUUAGUAUUAGGAUAAUAAUAUCAAAUUUAUAAAAGGAUGUAUGGGUUAGGGUAUUUUUGUAUAUAUUCGUAUAAUGUUUCCUUCCCCCUUUACAAAAUUGUGUGUUUUGUUCUUUUUUUGUAUCACUUUACAGCUUUGUAUUUGAAAAUUUUUCAAUAACAUAGCAUUUUUUUAAAAAAAGAGGGAGCAAGUGAGCAGUCCUUCCAUCAGUUUGUCCAUUAGGUGAGCUGCUGGCUAGCUGGCCAGCUGAGCGGACCUCGCUUCUCCCCCUCACCAAGGGCCACGCCAGGCAAGGCAUCUGAGGAGUAGCCUCCCUCACAUUCUUCCUCUUCCUCCUUCCCUCAAUGGUCUCUGGACCAAGGCCCGGCCCCUCACAGUGUGAUAAGGUGUUUGAGAGUGCAGCCCAUGGAAGCUGCAUCAUAGUCAGUUGCCAUUUAUGGAGUUACAUGUAAGCCUUGUCUAUCAUUGGCUGGGUCAUGUAAGUUGGGUUUGAGGUCAUAAUUGGUGUGUGUGUGGUGGGAAACUCCUAGGAAUGGAGGAAGCUGCCUGAAACCCAGUCACACUGUGGAUAAAUCUACCUCAGUGUUGACUACAUUGACUGGCAGAAGCUCUCAAGUGUUUCACAGAGACUGUUGGUGUACUGCCCUCUUUCACUCACCCCAGGCAUUGGCAAUAUGGCUGUAUUUCUAACGGGUGAAGAUAAGCCAUCCGAAGAGCCUUGAUGGGACCUCUUAGUGCCUCUCUGAAUUUCCUUUCAUUCUUUCACUCUCCCCUCCAUUUCAUAUUUGUUUGUACCUCUGAUACCUACUCCUGAUAGAAAGGUUUUCUCUUCCAUCUCUCUGCCUGUAAGGGGUUUCUGUCAUUUCUCUUCUCUCAUUUUGCUCUUCCCCACUGUCUCCACCUUCCUUAUCUUUCCACUUCAGUCCCACCUUCACACCCUCUUGUUCUCCAUCCUAGCCCCUUCCCCUUUCCUCUUCCACUCCAGACCCCUGCUCUGCUCCCUGCCAAUCAGUUGAGAGGGACUGCACCUAGUCCCUGUCUCGCAUUGGCUUGGAAGAGGGACAGGGAUUUGUGCAAAUUUCCUAGUUAAAAUCCACAGGGUGGAAUUCAACAUUGCAUUACCCUGUGUAGACCAACCAUUAACUACUUACCUUCUCCAGAGCACAAAGUGCUUUUAAAAGGACUUUCCUUUAGAAAAAGAGUUAUUGUCCCUUACCGUAUUUGGCUAUGAUUCUGCACUGGUCCCCCAAAAUUGGGACAUUUCUAGGAACAAAUCCUUCUCAAAUUUUCCCUGAAUGAAAUUCUUGGCACCAAAAUUUUGAAUCCAUUUUGGCUGCUCUUAUUAAACAGAGAACUCAUAGCAGCACGGAGGGCAUGCUUCUUUAACACACUAAAUCCACUUGUCACCCUUCUGCUAUGGUCUGAGGAAGCAAAUCUGAAAGCUCAGACAUCUAUUGUUGGCAAGAAAAGUCUCUUGACAUUUUCACUGUAGAACAAGUCCCUUGCUCUUCAGGCACCACUUAAAAUCAGCACAUUUCUAAGUACCGUAGCUCUUCAUUGGUCUUUUUACUGUUUCCAACAGAGAAUGCAUGAAUUCAAGAAUCGUAUUCAAUUAUGGAUAAGGAUACUUAAGUGUUUGGGCUUGACAUCUGAAUUGACAGACCAUGAUUUGUGUGAUCAGCCAGUGAUCCAGAACCGGAAACCAUGAUUUGCACUAAUUAUGGUUUGGGGUCUGAAUUGUCUGAACGUCUGAAUUGACAAACCAGUGCCUAACAUGGUGAUAACAGAAUAAUCAAUGCAAGGAGAGAGUUGAAGCCCAAUAAAGUAAAAGAAUUGGUAAGGGAACAUCUAGCUACUUUAAAUGAAUUCAAAUCUCCAGGGCCUGAUGAACUGCACCUGAAGGUACUAAAAGAGCUUGCAGAGUCAAUCUCAGAGCCUCUGUCUAUAAUCGAGAACUCUUGGAGAACAAGUGAGGCCCCUGAAGACUGAAAGUGGGCAAAUGUUGUCCACAUCUUCAGAAGGAUGGGGGUUGGGGUGGGGAGAAGACCCAGAUAACUACUGACCAUUGAGCUUGACAUCAGUACCAGGAAAGGACCUAUAAUAGAUAAUUUAGUUGGUCUGUGGGCACUUAGAAAAGGAUGCUUUGAUUACGAAGACUCAGCAUGGGUUUCUCAAAAGCAAGUAAUGCCAGACAAAUAAAAUUUUUUUUUGAUAGAGUUACAAGCAUGGUGGAUCCAGGGGAUGCUGUGGACAUAGCGCAUAUUGAUUUUAGCAAGACUUUUGACAAAGUUCCCCAUGAUAUUCUUGCAGAGAAGCUGGUAAAUGUGGACUAGACAAGGUAACUGUUAGGUGGAUUUGUAGCUGGUCAAUUGACCAAACCCAAAGAAUAUUCAGUAAUAGUUCCUCAUCAUCCGGGAGGAAAGUGACAAGUAGGGUGUUGCAGGGUUCUUUUCCGAGCCUCAUUCAAUUUUUAGAUGACACCAGACUGGUAGGGGCUGCUAAUGCUGUUGAAGACAGAAUUGGGAUUCAAGAUGACCAAACUGAUUUGAGAAUUGUGUCAAAACAAAGAAAAUGAAUUUCAACAGGGACAAAUGUAAGGUUCUACACUUAAGCAGGAAUAGCCAGCUGUACAAAUAUAGAAGCAAAAAAAAAAAAAAAAAAAGAAGAAGAAGAAGAAGAAAAAAAAGCUAAUGGUAUUCUAGGCUACAUCAACAGAAGUAUAGUGUCCUGAUCAAGGAAAGUAAUAUUCCCAUCCCAUUCUGCUUUGGUCAGACCACACCAGGUAUACUAUGUCCAGUUCUGGAGGCCACAAUUUAAGAAGGAUAUUGACAAGCUGGAACAUGUACAGAAGAGGGUGACCAUGAUGAUAAAGGGUCUGAAAACUAAGCCUUAUGAGAUAUGGUUAAGGGAGGUGAGUAUGUUUAGCCUGCUAAACAGGAAAUUCUGAGUAAACAUUCUGAUGGCAACAGCUAUUCUCCAGAAGCCCCAGGAUGCUUUUGUAAGAUCUGGGGAUGUUUGAGUUCCCACAAGACCUUUUGGGAGCACCCCAGACCUGGCAAGAAGAGAGAGCCUUGCUUGGAAAGCAAUGCAGAGAGCUUAAAAGCGCCCUUUGUGCUGGGAAAAUCCAGUGCAAAAAGAGCUUUUAAGCUUUCUGCCUUGCUUCCUGAGCAAGGACUCUCAUUGUGCCAGCUCCGUAUUUAACUUGCGGGAUUUCAGCCAGCUGGCCUUCAAGCACAUGUAGUUGAAACUGUGCAAGUUAAAGGCACAAAAGGCCUGAUCAAACUACUGUAUACCAGACCCUCCAAGUGUCUCUAUUUUGCAGGAUAGUCCCUGAUUUAGAGAAGCUGUUCCGGUUUCUGAUUUGAUCCUAGAAUGUCCCACUUUUCCUUCAGAUGUCCCUAUUUUCAUCAAAGAAAUGUUGGAGGGUAUGGAGUUAUACAACUCCCAAGCUCCCAGGCAAUCCUGUAUGGGGAAGGGUUUUUUUUAAUGUUUAAUUCUUUGUUAUGUUUUUAUAUAUAUUAGAAGCUGCCCAGAGUGUCUGGGGCAACCCAGUAAGAUGUGUGGAGUAUAAAUAGUAAAAUUAUCAUUAUGGAAUGGGACAUCCCUAUUUUCAUCAGAGAAUGUUGGGGGGUAUGCUGCGUAUACUAUAAAGUGUGUGGUGAUGGAUACUGUCUGUUUUGAUGGGGAAGGGUGCCAGUCCACUCUCUAAUAAGAGAAAGAUGUCUCUGAGCAGAAGCCUAGCAUCUUUCUCAGAGACGCACCACCCAGUGGCAUCUGCCCUGUCACUCAGCAAAUGGAGCUGCUGUACCAUGUGGAAGGAAAAGCUGGAAUGUGUACAAAGGGCUCUGGGUGCGAGCAGGAGAAAAUCCAAUAUUGUAGAAUUCAUAUCAGAAAAAAAUCAUCUUGUUUUCUCUCUGCCUUGCAUUGCCGGUAGAUCUGAGAGCAGCUGUAUUGAUACAACCUGGUGGUGGUUUGUUGUCGAGCCUUGUAGCAUGAUAUUAAAUUUUCAGCUUUAUUGCUAAAGUCAGCAGUUCCUCAAGCUGGUAAGGAGGGAGACAGAAUGAAGCAGGAGAGAGACAGAGAAGUGGGCGUUUCAUGGUUGGGAUGGACAUCGCUCAAUGUGUCAGAUGUUCAUUGAGGACGAAAGACCAGAAAUAGACUAGCAACAUUAAACAAGAGCUGAAUAACAAACAAACAAACAAAGAAACAAAGCCUCCUAUUCUUCUGCCUCUCUCCUCCCACCCCCAAUAUACUGCAUUGCACACCUGGGAGCAGGGAUGAGCACGAGUCGAUUGCUGCAGAGCAUAGGAACCUGCCUUAAAUUGCCAGAGCAUUGGUCCGUCUGGCUCGAUUCUGUCUACACAGAUUAGUAGGAGCUCUCCAGGAUUUCAGGCAGGAGAGUUUGCCCAACUUACCUUUGAAAAAGUAAGUGGUAUCUCAAAUUGAAUGAAUGAAUGAAACUAUUUGGAGGUGCCAAGGAUUGAACUUGGGGCGUUCUGUAUACAAGCUUCUUUUUAAAAUACCUGUAGCAAAAUCAAGACACUUUGCUUCUUUCUGCAUUUCUCUCCCAACAGCCACCUGGCCAGUCUUUUGUGUGGAUCAGGUCAAGUUGCCCUUGAACUGUCCUUCUGAGGCAGCACUAGGAAACCGACAUGGUUAUCUUGUGAGCCCAGUAUAUUGCAUUCUUACAUCUGCUAAGAAUAUUGGAUCUCUCCCCCCCUUGAGUGUUCCAUGCUGAUGGCAGUGUAAUCAUGUAAAGCAUUUCCUUGGAG